ACAAAAAUGGUAGAUUCUGAAUCUUUAAAAUAGUGUUCUUUAGAAAAAUGUUUUUAUAAAAUAAGGGAUGAUUCAUAAAUAUAAUAUUGUGAGUGGCCAAAAGCCCCAAAAUGGCCCAAAAACAUCAAAAUUACUCAAAACAGACUUCAGGUAAUGUAACAUAAUUUCUUUGAUUUCUAUAAUUUUUUUUAACUUUAAGGACUUAAAGGUCUCCAUAAAACACCAAGAAGAACAAUUUAAAGCAAACUUCUCCUGUCAGUUUGCUGUUUGUUUUAUUUCUAUGACGCCUGCUGGAGCAAGUGUUUGCCCAAACGCCGUCGCCCUGUCACCGGCAGCAGCAGCAUCUGCCAGGAAACAUAUCGACCCCCGCUGCUUCAGGCUCCAGAGCCACCAGCAUGAAUCUCAAUGACCUUUCUGGUGUUCACAUUUAGCUACUCGUCCUAAUUUUCAACAAGAAAACAAAAGAUGAGUCAUUUUAAACUCCUGUAUUCCUUUACUUUACUUUACUUUUAUUUUCUAACGGAACAUGUGAGCACCUGCAGAUAAAAAGAUCACCUCAGAGAAGAAGAACCUUGGCAACCUGUUGUUGUCAUUUACCAGACCGACACCACAUUGUCAGAAAUCCAGUCAACAUGUGGAGCGCUGUAAGCCACAGUGACACAUCUGUGCAAAGAACAAGACAGUCUGACAGUUUAAGGGGGGAAAACAUCUAUUUUUAUCAUAAAAUCUGUGAAAUUCAA